UCCAUUCUUCUCUGCUAACUUGCUCACUAUUGCCUCCUUCCCUGCUGGCUGAACUAGUGGUCCAUCUAUGACCUACUCCACUGCCUCUAUCAUCUUUGUUGCUAUGCUUCUUUAAAAAGAAAACUGGUAGAACAUGACAAUUGUGGAAGCAAUCACUGCUUUUGCGGACAAGGAGGACACUGUGGCCUACCACCACUCCAGCUCAUUUGUCGGCCACACCCAAAAGCAGAACCUAAUUGAUUCACUUGCCUGCCACUUAUAUUUCUAGGAUUUUCUUUUAAUGGUAUAUUCCUGCUGUAGCUGCCCUGACCAACUGGCCCAUAAAGAAGCACAUCAUCACUACUAAUAAACAAUGUUGAGUCAUCCUGGAUUCAGUGUACACAAACUGAAUCAAUCAAUCUGGAGACCUCCUGGAUAAAGGGUUAGACCAGCAUUCCCAUCCGGCCCAAAGUGCACCACUGCCUUUUAGUCCAUUUAUUUACUGCACUUAAUGUAUUUGUUAGGGCUGCAGUGCUUAUAUAGCACCUGUCAGCAACUCUUUAAAAUAGCUGGGUCUUUUCCAAGGAUCAUGCAGUUGCCCUCCUUGCUGCACCCAGAAAAGUUAUGCCUGGUUUAGUAGCUAGACGUAUUAAAUUGCUGACAGGUGCUACAUACACCCCCAUACACACUCUUGUCCUUUCAAAUCUGAAGUGCUGCAUUAACCCGAGCAUUUAUGUCUCCUGCUGAGUCAGUACCUCAAGGUUUUAGAAUAAUCACACAGACAACAAAGUAGCAAAUAGCUGCUCAAAUCAAAAUGGAAAGUUACUUUAAAACCCAACAUAACCAGCAAUUUCAGUAUUUUUUGUUCUUCAGGUUCAAGUACAAUAAGCAAAAUUGUGGAUAUGGAGGCGAAAAUGCUGACAUCAGAAUAUUCCACAAUUUCUAUCACAAUAGAAGGAUUCCUUCCCGGAACUGCUCUCUCUCUCUCUGGAGCUGUUCCACUGGCUGCAUUAGAGAAAAAGAUGGACCUGCAGAUGCAAUCCAGCAGCUCAACCGAAGCAUUGUGUGUUUGGCUUGAGACACUGGCUGCACUCCCCAACUCCACCUCAAUUGGUCACUACAAGAAUAACUGCAGACCUGCUAUCAGAAUGUCUUCCUCUCUUCCUUCCUCAUCCCCCUUUCCUUUCUUUUUGCAUUAUGUCCGUAAAAUUCUGUGUCUGUGGAUAGAGCAACAAUACUUGAAAUUCUGUGGGUAAUUAUUCUAUUUCUAUAGCUAUAUGUUGCUUCAUCUGUUGGAGGUGUGUUAGCGCUGAAGGCCCAGCUUAGGUGGCACCAUCUAGCCAAUCUUGGCUGAACUCAGAAAGCUAGCCAGGGUUAGUUGGUUAUCUUAAUAAGCAUUGGAUGCAAGACCCCCAGGAAAUUCCAGAGCUUUAGGUUAGAUUGGGAAGUCCAACAAACUGAAGGCAGCAGUGGGAAACCACUUCAUGGGCAUGUCUGUGAAGUUCAUCUUGAGGGAGAUUGCUCCUUGGUAGUACUGAGCAUGCCAGCUAUUCAGCUUUCACACUACAUCUUUCCUCAUUCCUCAUUCCCUAUUUGUACACAAACUGGAGUUUAGAACUUGAACCUGCUGCUGUUUUGGUCACACUUUACACACUGCUGGAACAAUGGCUUGCACAUGGAAAGCUGGAAUGCUGUAUGGAGCAUCACACAGAAAGGUGCAACUGCCAUGCCCAAUGUUCCAGUUUGAGAAGACAGCACUAUAUUAAGAUAGGAUCUGUGGGUGAAAAUGAGGUCUCCUGAUUCAAGCAAGAGUUUUCUAGAGCUCAAUCAGGAAGGGAGAACAGCUGCUGGCUCCUAAAAGUAAUCAAAUGCAAUUCUCCCUCCCCUGUGCACCUUACAUCUCUUAUCUCCUCCUCCCCCCUGUGGAGCUUGGUGCAUUUUCAUUAUGGAGAAGAUACUAAGGCCUUUUUCGCAAGUCUUUGCUCCUAAAUCAUGGACCCUAACCCUAACCUGAAAAGAUGGGAGUUAUGGGGGAUUGUCUGCAGGUCAUCCUGCAGCACCACCUUCCAUUCCAAAGCCCACCACCGCCUCCUAGAUGCCCUUUUACCCCUGCAUCCACCUCUUCCCUUUCUCCCCAUCAUGGUCGAUGCACACCUCCCUUGUCCCUCCUGGCCUCAUCCCAUUUUGCAGUGCUUCUCCCCAGCAGUGCACCAGCCCUCCAGAAUACGGAGGCGCCUUGCCCUGCAGCGCAUUCUCAUUGAUGUCCAACCGCCGAGGAAAUGGAGGUCACCCAGUUCCAAGCCUUCUCCUCCGUCCCCUUUCCAUAUAAAUUGUCCUCCCCUUCCAGGGUUGGUGCUGCAGUUCGGUGACGCUUUGUCUUCCUUUGCAAGCUAGCCAGACGUCCACAGGGAAGGAAAACACGGCUUCCGAGCGUGUGUUUGGCUUUAACGAUCCAAGGCCUCGAAUCUACCGGAGGAUCGCCGCAGCCUUGGCUAUGAAAUGCGAGGCAGAACCGCAGCUCAGCCCGCUUCCAGGACCAAGGCCGCGCCGUUCCAGGAAGUGUAGACUGGAGAUCAGGGGCAGGGGAGAGACACCUGAGCGCCGCCGGCCCCCCCUUCGCCCUCCUACGUGGAGGUUCGGAAGCGAAGCGACGGCAUGGCCAAGAAGGCCACCGGGUUGCUCCGCUCGGUAGCGCAGAUGUCUGGCUUCCGCGGAGGCCUCAUUUCACGCAGCUCCGUGGUCUCUCUCGAAAGGGGCGCACGCAGCUCUUCAGAGACACUGUGCGAGGCUGUGGCGGCACGACUGGGAGCCCCCCUUCGCAGCCGACUAGUCACGCAGCUGGCCGCUCCCCGCGCAAGAGGGACGCAGCCUCGCAACUCCCACGUGGCAAAGAGGGCGAAGGUCGCGUGCGCGUGUCCUGUUCUCCGGGCGUCAAAGCUGGGGCUGUGAAACUCUCGCUCUUGGAUUGUCCAGUACCAUAUAUUCUGGGGAUUUCUUAAAGGGAUACCAUUUGAUACUAUCAAAAUAUGCCUUAAGGUCUGGAGUAAGUGGAGAAGUCAUCAGUAAAAAUGUCCCAAACCUUCCAAGCUGUACAGACUAGAGUGUGUCCAGAAGUCCAGCCUGACUGGCAGUAAUCUAGGAUAAGUAUAUUUUACUGGGGAAUCCUUGGAAGAAUUACUAAAAUUGCUCCCUAACUCUGUAAGAUCUAUUAAUCAUACAAGCUUACUGUAAUUCCUUUGGUGAGAGAUACACUCAAAGACUGCAUCUUACCCAAAUGCAAUCACAAAAGUAUGCAAUCUAACACCUUCCUCAGUUUAUCUGCAGAAUUAAAACAAUGUUGUGAUGCAAUAUUUUAACAAUAGCUAGCUAACCUUGGCUGAUCCCCAAAAGUUAAGUAGAAUACACAAACUUAAAUGAGGUUGAAUGAAAAGUAUUACAUCCAUACAAAGCCAACAGAUAGCCGUUCUGACACACUAGAAACUCUGCCAUAUUCUUUAGCACCCGUUCUUUCAUUUCAUUAGUGGGAAGUUAUUAGAAAAGGUUGUGUUCCUACUAUUUGUAAAAUGGAAGCCUACAGUGAAUACUCCUCAGUGCACUUUACACAAUGCACCAUUAUUGAGUUUUUUAUUUCCAAUUUACCUCAGGGUAAAAUUCACUGCCAAAUGCAGGUUGUUUAUGGUGAUGACUGUGUUGACAUAAGUACUGUGCAUCACUGGCCAAAAAAUGUAAAGAUGGUCAACUGGGAAGUGCUGAUUUGGGUGAUCAAGAACCAAGGGGACUGCCUGUUAACAGCAACCAACGAGUUUCACGUCAGAAAGGUUGAUGGACCAAUUAAGGACAAGCAGUGAAUCACUCAAAAGGAAAUUGCUUUUAAGUUUUGCAUUUCACAGAAACAUGCUGGUCACAUUAUUAAUGUUCUUCAAUAUCAGAAAGUUUGUGUGAGAUGGGUCCCUUGCAUACUGACGACAGAGAUGAAAGAUUCAAGAGUUGAAAUUUGCCAGCAAUUGUUGCCACAUUAUGAGAAUGAAGGUGAGGAAUUUCUUCAUAGCAUUGUGAUGGAGGCAAUAUUUGACAUCAUCAUUAUGACCCAGAAACAAAACAUCAAUCCAUGGAAUAUCAUCAUAAAAUUUCAUUUAUGAAAAAAAAUUCAAAACCCAAGUUUCAGCAAGAAAACUCAUGGUUACAGGGUUUUUUUAAUGGAGAUGGUAUUAUUCACAUGGAUUUCCUUGAAUGUGGCACCAUUAGCAACUCAACAUUCAAAACCUUGAAACAACCAUUAAGCAGCAUUUGGAAACAACAAAGAAAUUUUGCUACAACAUGAUAAUGCUAGGUGUCACACCUCACAACCACCCAUGAGGCCAUUGCGAAGUUGGAUCUCACCAUCUUACCACAUCACCAUAUAGUCCAGAUAUGGCACCAUGCAAUUUCUUCCUUUUCCCCAAAUUGAAGGAAUACCUUUGUGGACAUCUGUUUAACUCAAAUAAAGAGUUGGAAAGGACUGUCAGGAUCCAGUUGAAGAGACAAACUGGAGUUUAAUGAUGGCUUUCAGAAGCUUGUCCAUCAUUAGCAGUAAUGUGUAGCAAAUGGUGGUUAUUACAUGGAAAGUACAUACAGGUAACAAAAGAGCUAUAUCAAGAAUUAUUUUCUUGUUUCAUUUAUUAAAAUAUCCCUACUUAAAGUUAUGGAGGUGGAGGCAUUACUUUUUUUUAACUCUUAUCUCCUAUAUAUUUUUAAAUAAUGGGGUUUGCUACUGAGCUUGCUCAGUUUUAAGUGCAUCCUUCAACAUGCUGCUCCUGCCCCAGCAUGGCCUUUGAUCCAAGAGACAAUGAACACCCUUGAUUUAAAUGGAAGUCCUAGCAAUUUCUGUUUAUUUAAAUAGAGUAAUACCACUUUGUUUUGGGAUAUAACAAAUUCUACCAGCAGAUGCCCAUAAGUAUUGAAAUCAUAAGAACCAUUAAACAUCAGAGUGUGAAAGGAAUCCACAUGUAGUAAAAAAGUUAGAAUGUGCCAAUCAUAGUAUAAUCAACAGGUUCAUAGCCUCACUCCCUGCUCUAUAUUUGGAGGUUUUUUAAAAGGGUUUUAUGAAAAAUUCUUUAAUUCUAUUCUUGUAGCUAACUAAGUCUAAAAAUUAUUUAAGAAAUAUUUUUUUAAAAUAGUAUCCUUAUA